rnacentral:ncRNA from 1 species
AUCUAUGUAUUAAAAAUAGAACCAUAAAUUUUAUUUUAAAUAAAAAGUUUUAUUCUUGUUUAGAGUCUUAUUAUUUAGAUAAUUUAUAUGUAAAUUUGUGUGAGAGGUAAGUGAAUCUAAAAGAGGAUAUUAUAAGUUAAUCGCAGUAUUGAAUUUUAAAUAUCAAGGUGGUUUGGAAUUAGUAAUUUAAUAUAUGAUUGGUUAAGGUCGUGCCAGCAGCCGCGGUUAUACGUAGGAUAGAAAUAAGAUUUAUUAGUUGAGAGUUAAUAAAUUGAAUUGGAAUAAUUUAAUAAUUUUGUAGGUAGAAUUUAAAAUUAUUUUUAUUUAUGAUUAUGAAAUGAAGCUUUGAAAGUUAGAUUUUAGACUAGGAUUAGAUACCCUAUUAUUUUAAUUGUAAAAAUGAGGCUUGGGUAGUAUUAGUUAAGAUCUUGAAACUCAAAGAAUUUGGCGGUGUUUUAGUCUUUUCAGAGGAAUCUGUCCUAUAAUUGAUAAUACACAUUAAAUGUUACCUAAUUUUGUAAUAGCAGUUUGUAUACCGCCGUCAUAAGAAUAUCUUUUUAGAGGAUUGAAUAUUCUAGUUAUUAAAAAUAAAUAGUAUGUCAGGUCAAGGUGCAGUUUAUAAUUAGGAAGAGAUGGAUUACAAUAAAAUUAUUUAAAUGACGAAUUUUAUGAUGAAAUUUAUGAAUAAAGGUGGAUUUGAAAGUAAUAUUAUUAUAUUAUGAUAAUAUGAUUUAAGCGCUGAAACAUGCACACAUCGCCCGUCGCUCUCGUUACUAAGAUGAGAUAAGUCGUAACAUAGUAGAUGUACUGGAAGGUGUAUCUAGGAAGU